UACGUAGGGUGCAAGCGUUGUCCGGAAUUAUUGGGCGUAAAGAGCUUGUAGGCGGUUUGUCGCGUCUGCUGUGAAAUUUCGGGGCUCAACCCCGAACUUGCAGUGGGUACGGGCAGACUAGAGUGUGGUAGGGGGAGACUGGAAUUCCUGGUGUAGCGGUGAAAUGCGCAGAUAUCAGGAGGAACACCGAUGGCGAAGGCGGCUCUCUGGGACGGUACUGACGCUGAGGAGCGAAAGCGUGGGGGAGCGAACAGG
rnacentral:rRNA from 1 species